CUUUAACAGUACCAUUGACACAUCCGGAGUUUGCUGAAAAACAGAAAUUGCAGCCACAACACUUCAAACCCGUAGCCCAAAAUUCUGCAUCAGACCCUGAACUUCAGAUGCGUCUCCUGAACUCAAUACUGCUCCAAAAUUCAUGAAAUUGGCGUCGAAACGACCGUACAUUCGUUAGUUAACCGUAGAAACAAACUCCAUACGAAACAGAUGUACAGAGAGUGAACAGUCACCGUUUUAGUGAGACCCUGUCCAGAAACACGAUUUUUGCACAGCCAUUCCAAUUCCUCUUGUUUUCUUAUUUCACCCAUCAAUUCUUAACUCCUCCCAAGUGCUCCAAGUUCAGUAAUUAGGAACAUGCAAUUACACCAAGAAGGACUUAGAGUCUAACAUAACCAAGAAAGAAAAGAAGAUGAGUUUGAUUCCUCUUACCUUAGAUUCCUAGUAACCCAAAGGCUUGAACUUGAGUAGGAUCUUUCACAUGCAAAUAUGAAUUUGAAGAAACUGAGUUUGGGGUUUAGGCUUGUUGUUUGGAUUUCGACCAAAUCAAAAGGAAUAGGGAAUAGAAGACUAAGAUGAGUUUCUCUCGUGAACUUUAGUGAGGGAAUUUAAUUUAGGGUUCUGAUGAAACAAAGGGGAAAGGAAUAGGUUGAAUUUCUCUCAUAUACCUUGAUUACCCAACAACAUACAAUGGUGGAAGGAAGCUUUAAUGGACACAUGCAUAGUCUCAUUGAAGAAUUAGAUGAACUUGACCAAUGAGAGAGAGGAUUUCGGCCAAGCUAAGGAAAAAGGGAAGAUUGGAGUUUCAAACAUCUUCUAUUAAUUUCUAAGAUUAAGGGUUAAUGUUUGAUGCUACAUGCAAAGCUUAAAACUUACACAAAGUGAGAAAGAUGGAGUAUGUAUGGGUUGCUUGUUCUGUUUGUUUUUCUAGAGAGAAAGAUGAAGAUGAGUAGUUGAAGAGAGAGAGCACGUGAGCUUUGAAGGAAAAGAGGAGGAGAUGAAACUGAUUUAUUCUCUUUCUUGACUUAACUUGUUAUAUACUAGUGGUUGUCUAGUUUCAAUAAAGGUUUGGGUCCAUUAUUUCUAGUGUUGGUGUUGUUGUUUUUGACGUGGGAGAAGAGAGAAAGUUUGCUGACAAUU
rnacentral:lncRNA from 1 species